CNCAGAACGCCGAUUGCGAAGGCAGCUUACUAAGCCAAUAUUGACGCUGAGGCACGAAAGCGUGGGGAGCGAACAGGAUUAGAUACCCUGGUAGUCCACGCCGUAAACGAUGUUCACUCGCUGUCUGCGAUACACAGUAGGCGGCUGAGCGAAAGCAUUAAGUGGACCACCUGGGGAGUACGAUCGCAAGGUUGAAACUCAAAGGAAUUGACGGGGGCCCGCACAAGCGGAGGAACAUGUGGUUUAAUUCGAUGAUACGCGAGGAACCUUACCUGGGCUUAAAUGUAGAUUGCAUAGAUUAGAAAUAGUCUUUUACUUCGGUACUAUUUACAAGGUGCUGCAUGGUUGUCGUCAGCUCGUGCCGUGAGGUGUCGGGUUAAGUCCCAUAACGAGCGCAACCCCUAUCGUUAGUUGCUAGCAGGUAAUGCUGAGGACUCUAGCGAGACUGCCACCGUAAGGUGAGAGGAAGGUGGGGAUGACGUCAAAUCAGCACGGCCCUUAUGUCCAGGGCUACACACGUGUUACAAUGGUCGGUACAAAGGGCAGCUACCAGGUGACUGGAUGCCAAUCCCUAAAGCCGAUCCCAGUUCGGAUUGGAGUCUGCAACCCGACUCCAUGAAGUUGGAUUCGCUAGUAAUCGCGCAUCAGCCAUGGCGCGGUGAAUACGUUCCCGGGCCUUGUACACACCGCCCGUCAAACCAUGGGAGCUGGGGGUGCCUGAAGUCUGUGACCGAGAGGAGCGGCCUAGGGUAAAACUAGUGACUGGGGUUAAGUCGUAACAAGGUAACCGUA
rnacentral:rRNA from 1 species